rnacentral:rRNA from 1 species
UUUAAUUCGAAGCAACGCGAAGAACCUUACCAGGUCUUGACAUCCCUCUGACCGCUCUAGAGAUAGAGUUUUCCUUCGGGACAGAGGUGACAGGUGGUGCAUGGUUGUCGUCAGCUCGUGUCGUGAGAUGUUGGGUUAAGUCCCGCAACGAGCGCAACCCCUAUUGUUAGUUGCCAUCAUUCAGUCGGGCACUCUAGCGAGACUGCCGGUAAUAAACCGGAGGAAGGUGGGGAUGACGUCAAAUCAUCAUGCCCCUUAUGACCUGGGCUACACACGUGCUACAAUGGCUGGUACAACGAGUCGCAAGUCGGUGACGGCAAGCUAAUCUCUUAAAGCCAGUCUCAGUUCGGAUUGUAGGCUGCAACUCGCCUACAUGAAGUCGGAAUCGCUAGUAAUCGCGGAUCAGCACGCCG